UCCUUUUAAAACUUUUACGCAAAAAAGGAAUUUUAAUUCAACAUCGAGGUCAUAAACUCACUUUUCAAUUUGAUCUUUCUAAGUGAAUUAAGCUGUUAUCCCUAAAGUAACUUAUUUCUAUUUUAGAAUUUCUAGAUAUUUAAACAGGUCUGUUUUUCUUUAAAGGAAAAGAUCUUUUUCCUACCGCCCCAGUAAACNACUUUUUCUCCUUCAAAAAUAGAAAAAAAAUAUAAAGUUUUAUAGGGUCUUCUUGUCUAAAAGAAGUAUUNUAGCCUUCUUACUAAAAAGUAAAAUUCAUUUUUUUAAAUAGAAAGAAAUUCUCUUGGUUUACUCUUUCAUUCCAGUCUCAAAUUAAAAGA
rnacentral:rRNA from 1 species